rnacentral:rRNA from 1 species
CCUACGGGGUGCACCAGUGGGGAAUAUUGGACAAUGGGCGAAAGCCUGAUCCAGCAAUGCCGCGUGUGUGAAAAAGGUCUUCGGAUUGUAAAGCACUUUCGACGGGGACGAUGAUGUCGGUACCCGUAGAAGAAGCCCCGGCUAACUUCGUGCCAGCAGCCGCGGUAAUACGAAGGGGGCUAGCGUUGCUCGGAAUGACUGGGCGUAAGGGGAGCGUAGGCGGUUUAUGCAGUCAGAUGUGAAAUCCCCGGGCUCAACCUGGGAACUGCAUUUGAGACGCAUAGACUAGAGGUCGAGAGAGGGUUGUGGAAUUCCGAGUGUAGAGGUGAAAUUCGUAGAUAUUCGGAGGAACACCAGUGGCGAAGGCGGCUUACUGGUCUGCAACUGACGCUGAGGCGCGAAAGCGUGGGGAGCAAACAGGAUUAGAUACCCUCGUAGUC